rnacentral:misc_RNA from 1 species
GCAAACUUCUAUCAACUCGGCUCCUUUCGCUGCAUUUAUUUUGUGCUUUGAAGUGUAUAGAGUUUAAUCUAACCCAGUCCAGUGUGUCACCGCAAACAGAUGAUUCUCGCGACCAUCAAACUAUAACUGCCUUCCUCCCCUCCCCCUUUUUGUGUCAUGUAACCUGCUGCUGUACUCAUUUUUCAACAGGUAUAGAAUAGCCUAAGCCUGUAGAGACCUUAAUUUGUG